rnacentral:rRNA from 1 species
UACAUGGGGUGCAAACGUUGCUCGGAAUUAUUGGGCGUAAAGCGCGCGUAGGCGGUUACUCAAGUCGGAUGUGAAAGCCCUCGGCUUAACUGAGGAAGUGCACCCGAAACUGAGUAGCUAGAGUACUAAAGAGGGUCGCGGAAUUCCCGGUGUAGAGGUGAAAUUCGUAGAUAUCGGGAGGAACACCUGCGGCGAAGGCGGGUUGCUGGGCUGAUACUGACGCUGAUGCGCGAAAGCCAGUGGAGCGAACGGGG